rnacentral:rRNA from 1 species
AGGGGGGGCAAGCGUUGUUCGGAAUUACUGGGCGUAAAGGGUCUGUAGGUGGCUUGCUAAGUCAGACGUGAAAUCCCUCAGCUUAACUGGGGAACUGCGUCUGAUACUGGCAAGCUUGAGUGCAGGAGAGGAACGCGGAAUUCCAGGUGUAGCGGUGAAAUGCGUAGAUAUCUGGAGGAACACCGGUGGCGAAGGCGGCGUUCUGGACUGCAACUGACACUGAGAGACGAAAGCCAGGGGAGCAAACGGGAUUAGAUACCCCGGUAGUCCUGGCCCUAAACGAUGAAUGCUUGGUGUGGCGGGUAUCGAUCCCUGCCGUGCCGAAGUUAACGCGAUAAGCAUUCCGCCUGGGGAGUACGGUCGCAAGGCUG